AGAGUUUGAUCAUGGCUCAGAAUCAACGCUGGCGGCGUGCCUAACACAUGCAAGUCGAACGCGGUUGCCCCGCAAGGGGUAACUGAGUGGCGAACGGGUGAGUAACACGUGGGUGACCUACCCUCGAGUGGGGGAUAACAUCCCGAAAGGGGUGCUAAUACCGCAUGACAUCCUGUCUUUGAACAGAUGGACAUUAAAGCCGGGGGAUCGCAAGACCUGGCGCUCGUGGAGGGGCCCGCGCCCGAUUAGCUAGUUGGUGAGGUAACGGCUCACCAAGGCUUCGAUCGGUAUCCGGCCUGAGAGGGCGGACGGACACACUGGGACUGAGACACGGCCCAGACUCCUACGGGAGGCAGCAGUGGGGAAUUGUUCGCAAUGGGCGAAAGCCUGACGACGCAACGCCGCGUGGAGGACGAAGAUCUUCGGGUCGUAAACUCCUUUCGAUCGGGACGAAUGAUCGGUGACCUAAUACGUCACCGGAAUGACGGUACCGAGAGAAGAAGCCCCGGCUAACUCCGUGCCAGCAGCCGCGGUAAUACGGGGGGGGCAAGCGUUGUUCGGAAUUACUGGGCGUAAAGGGCGCGUAGGCGGCCAUCUAAGUCAGACGUGAAAUCCCCUCGGCUCAACCGAGGAACUGCGUCUGAUACUGGAAGGCUUGAAUCCGGGAGAGGGAUGUGGAAUUCCAGGUGUAGCGGUGAAAUGCGUAGAUAUCUGGAGGAACACCGGUGGCGAAGGCGGCAUCCUGGACCGGUAUUGACGCUGAGGCGCGAAAGCUAGGGGAGCAAACGGGAUUAGAUACCCUAGUAGUCC
rnacentral:rRNA from 1 species